UACGGAGGAGGCAAGCGUUAUCCGGAAUUAUUGGGCGUAAAGCGUCCGUAGGUGGCUAGUCAAGUCUGCGGUCAAAGACUGGGGCUUAACCCUGGAAAGGCCGUGGAAACUGACGAGCUAGAGCACAGUAGAGGCAGGUGGAAUUCCCGGUGUAGCGGUGGAAUGCGUAGAGAUCGGGAAGAACAUCAGUGGCGAAGGCGGCCUGCUGGGCUGUUGCUGACGCUGAGGCGCGACAGCGUGGGGAGCAAACAGG
rnacentral:rRNA from 1 species